AAUUCGAUGCUACACGAAGAACUUACCAGGUUUGACAUGCAAGUGGUAGGAAACCGAAAGGCGACGACCCUUCGGGAGCUUGCACAGGUGCUGCAUGGCUGUCGUCAGCUCGUGUCGUGAGAUGUUCGGUUAAGUCCGCUAACGAGCGCAACCCUCGCUGUGUGUUACAAGUGUCACACGGUACUGCCGGUCUUAAGCCGGAGGAAGGUGGGGAUGACGUCAAGUCAGCAUGGCCUUUAUAUCCAGGGCUACACACACGCUACAAUGGUCUGUACAAUGGGUAGCCAAGCCGCGAGGCGGAGCCAAUCCUGAAAGCAGGCCUCAGUUCAGAUUGCAGUCUGCAACUCGACUGCAUGAAGCCGGAGUUGCUAGUAACCGCAGGUCAGCAAUACUGCGGUGAAUACGUUCCCGGGUCUU
rnacentral:rRNA from 1 species